CAGGGGGAAAGGCCAGAUUCUUGAGCAUACCACAGUAGUGCACUGAGUUCAUCUGAAAGUGAACAGAGCCUGCGGGCCAUCCCUGGUGUUUCAGUGGGGGCAGUCACUUCUCGUGCUGACCAACUUUAAGGACAUUAAGACAUUUUUUUCUUUCCUUCAACAGACUGAGCAAGUGGAGUAGCAGAACCAGGAGCCUCUUUCAUACAUGAGGAAAGACUGUUGCCAUUUCAGCGGAAGGGAAAUUCCUAGGACUGGCUGUCUCCUGCCAAGCUCGGUGGAGCAUCUGCACCUUGGCUGUGUCUCCUCUGCUUUUGCCAGUUUCCUCUCACUGAGAGGAUGGAGGUGUCCGCACAGCUUUGGGCCUCAUGAGGGAUCUGCCUCCUGAGCAAAGAGCUCUUGAUCCUGAUUCCAUGCACAGUCCUGCAGUAAGGAGCCCAGAAGGAACAUGUGUUUCUUGUUAAAACUGCUCUUGUCCUCUUUUCUUACCAGAUUAUGAAGUUUGUUUCCAAGGGGAGGGUUUAAAAAUGGGAUCCUGUAAGCAGACUUGGGCAGGCUCCUUUUGAAAUAGGUUGUCUGUAUAUAUUCUAAUGUUUUGUAGAACACAUGUGCCUGUUUAAGUAUAUUGAUGUGGAUAAUAUUAAAUAUCUUGAUUAUUUAAUUCUUUGUAUUGUUUCUGAGAAGUUGGGAAAUUACCAUUAUAUAUUUACAACUCAAUGACUUUUGUAUUUUAUUUUUUUCAAAAUAAAAGCUUUCAAUAUGAA